rnacentral:lncRNA from 1 species
AUGGGUUUUUUUAUUGGACUUUCAUGCAAAAAUGGUUCUUGCCAAUUCAUUUACACCACUAAUUAUCUUGCAGAAAUAAAAGUGCUCCAUGAAGGCUUAGAUCCUGGAUCACAGACUGCAGCUCCACAGUCACACCUGCCCGUAGGAAUUUUAACAGUGUUCCCCAGGCAGACUAUGGAGCAGGAGCAGUUCUGUAUAAUGGCUUUUCUGCAGCACAGUUCCCUAUGGCUGGAAGCAAGGGCAGGACUGCCAACGUUACCAUGGAAACCCCCCAAAAAUAAAGACUUUCCCAGCCUUGUGAGAGCACACCUGCAAGGGCAAGAACGACAGUUAGCCUUUUGCCUGUCAAAAGCAAAUCUCCUUCAUUCUUGAUGUCACCUGAGGACGUUUUUUACCCUCGGACUGGAGCUUCCUGUUGUACACAUGACAAGCUUUCAGAGAAGAAACCUGGUGGUUAUGAGAGGAAACUUCCACGGAACUACACAGGUACUGGCAGCAGGAGUGGUCGUUCACACAGGGACAGCUCACUGCCACUGUUAACAAAAUCCCCAGCCCAGUCACGGUGUGGUGAAUCACUUUUGGCUGAACUUAGCAGCUUUAAGUAUGAUCAAAGUCAAGAAUAUUUGCAGUCAGUAGGAUUUCUGUACAUCACAAGGGAAACAUUUUGCUAA